rnacentral:rRNA from 1 species
GACGAACUGCCCAAACGUUGUUCGGAAUCACUGGGCAUAAAGGGCGCGUAGGCGGCGAUUCAAGUCAGGGGUGAAAUCCGGCAGCUCAACUGUCGAAGUGCCUUUGAUACUGAAUUGCUCGAGGGAGGUAGGGGUCUGUGGAACUUCUGGUGGAGCGGUGAAAUGCGUUGAUAUCAGAAGGAACGCCGGUGGCGAAAGCGACGGACUGGACCUUUUCUGACGCUGAGGCGCGAAAGCUGGGGGAGCAAACGGG